GGCUCCGAAGAACAAUGCCUCCGGCAGUGACAACAAUUUGGAUUCAACCUCGAGAUAUGUUUUUACCUGGAAUGACACCCUCAAAAUCUUAGCACAUCAAGCAUCAGUGUACGGAGUAGCUGCUGGUUACUGCAUCUCUGCAUCCCUGCUCUCCAUCAUCAACAAGUGGGCGGUCAUGGAGUUCCCAUACCCGGGCGCCUUAACAGCCCUGCAGUACCUCACCAGCGUCCUCGGCGUCCUGCUCUGCGGCUGGCUGAAGCUUGUGGAGCACGACUCCCUCAACCUCAAAACCAUGUGGAGGUUCCUCCCCGCUGCCUUCAUGUUCUACGUCUCCAUAUUCACCAACAGCGAGCUCCUCCUCCAUGCCAACGUCGACACCUUCAUCGUCUUCCGCUCCGUCGUCCCCAUAUUCGUGGCCGUCGGGGAGACCCUCUUCCUCGAGCAGCCAUGGCCGUCGCUCAAGACGUGGGCUUCCCUGGCCACCAUCUUCGGGGGCAGCGUCCUCUACGUGCUCACGGACUACCAGUUCACCGUGACCGCCUACGCCUGGGCCGCCGCCUACCUCGUCAGCAUGUCCAUCGACUUCGUCUACAUCAAGCACGUCGUCAUGACCAUCGGCCUCAACACCUGGGGGCUGGUGCUGUACAACAACCUGGAGGCGCUGCUGCUGUUCCCGCUGGAGCUGCUGGUGAUGGGCGAGCUGAACCAGAUGAAGAGCGCCGUCUCCGACGGGACGAACCGGUUCUCCAUCGGCGUGGUGCUGCCGGUGGCGUUGUCGUGCUUGUUCGGCCUGUCCAUAUCCUUCUUCGGGUUCUCCUGCCGGAGGGCGAUCUCCGCAACGGGAUUCACGGUGCUUGGCAUAGUGAACAAGCUGCUGACGGUGGUGAUCAACCUGAUGAUCUGGGACAAGCAUUCCACCUUCGUCGGAACCGUUGGCCUCCUCAUCUGCAUGCUCGGAGGCGUCCUC
rnacentral:lncRNA from 1 species